UACGAAGGGGGCUAGCGUUGCUCGGAAUCACUGGGCGUAAAGCGCACGUAGGCGGCUUUCUAAGUCAGGGGUGAAAUCCUGGAGCUCAACUCCAGAACUGCCUUUGAUACUGGAGAGCUUGAGUCCGGGAGAGGUGAGUGGAACUCCGAGUGUAGAGGUGAAAUUCGUAGAUAUUCGGAAGAACACCAGUGGCGAAGGCGGCUAUCUGGACCGGUACUGACGCUGAGGCGCGAAAGCGUGGGGAGCAAACAGG
rnacentral:rRNA from 1 species